AGGGAGAUAAGUUAUUAUCCAAACUGUCUGGUUCAUACUCAGAAAAUGCUUUUAGCUUUCCCUA
rnacentral:tRNA from 1 species